UACAGGGUGACAGCCCCGUACACAAAAGCGCAUAUGCUGUGAGCUCGAUGAGUAGGGCGGGACACGUGGUAUCCUGUCUGAAUAUGGGGGGACCAUCCUCCAAGGCUAAAUACUCCUGACUGACCGAUAGUGAACCAGUACCGUGAGGGAAAGGCGAAAAGAACCCCGGCGAGGGGAGUGAAACAGAACCUGAAACCGUGUACGUACAAGCAGUGGGAGCACAGGUUUACCUGUGUGACUGCGUACCUUUUGUAUAAUGGGUCAGCGACUUAUAUUCUGUAGCAAGGUUAACCGCAUAGGGGAGCCGAAGGGAAACCGAGUCUUAAUUGGGCGUUAAGUUGCAGGGUAUAGACCCGAAACCCGGUGAUCUAGCCAUGGGCAGGUUGAAGGUUGGGUAACACUAACUGGAGGACCGAACCGACUAAUGUUGAAAAAUUAGCGGAUGACCUGUGGCUGGGGGUGAAAGGCCAAUCAAACCGGGAGAUAGCUGGUUCUCCCCGAAAGCUAUUUAGGUAGCGCCUCGUGAAUUCAUCUCCGGGGGUAGAGCACUGUUUCGGCUAGGGGGCCAUCCCGGCUUACCAACCCGAUGCAAACUGCGAAUACCGGAGAAUGUUAUCACGGGAGACACACGGCGGGUGCUAACGUCCGUCGUGAAGAGGGAAACAACCCAGACCGCCAGCUAAGGUCCCAAAGUCAUGGUUAAGUGGGAAACGAUGUGGGAAGGCCCAGACAGCCAGGAUGUUGGCUUAGAAGCAGCCAUCAUUUAAAGAAAGCGUAAUAGCUCACUGGUCGAGUCGGCCUGCGCGGAAGAUGUAACGGGGCUAAACCAUGCACCGAAGCUGCGGCAGCGAACGUAUCACUUAAAACGAUUCAGAAGCUUACGAUUGACGGAGCGAAGCGACGUCAAAGCGUAUACAAAGUCGAGUCGGUUUAAGGAUACGUUCGUUGGGUAGGGGAGCGUUCUGUAAGCCUGCGAAGGUGGCCUGUGAGGGUUGCUGGAGGUAUCAGAAGUGCGAAUGCUGACAUAAGUAACGAUAAAGCGGGUGAAAAGCCCGCUCGCCGGAAGACCAAGGGUUCCUGUCCAACGUUAAUCGGGGCAGGGUGAGUCGACCCCUAAGGCGAGGCCGAAAGGCGUAGUCGAUGGGAAACGGGUUAAUAUUCCCGUACUUGGUGUUACUGCGAAGGGGGGACGGAGAAGGCUAUGUUGGCCGGGCGACGGUUGUCCCGGUUUAAGCGUGUAGGCUGACUUUC
rnacentral:rRNA from 1 species